GACGAACGCUGGCGGCGCGCUUAACACAUGCAAGUCGAACGGAAAGGCCUGCUUUCCCUUGUGGAUUGCGGGUACUCGAGUGGCGAACGGGUGAGUAACACGUGAGUGAUCUGCCCCCAACUUGGUUAUAAGCCUGGGAAACUGGGUCUAAUUCCCGAUAGGGCUGCAGGGUGGUGCCUGUGGUGGAAAACGAUUUUCUAGUGGUUGGGGAUGAGCUCGCGGCCUAUCAGCUUGUUGGUGGGGUAAUGGCCUACCAAGGCGGCGACGGGUAGCCGGCCUGGGAGGGUGGACGGCCACAUUGGGACUGAGAUACGGCCCAGACUGCUACGGGAGGCAGCAGUGGGGAAUAUUGGACAAUGGGCGGAAGCCUGAUGCAGCGACGCAGCGUGGGGGAUGACGGCCUUCGGGUUGUAAACUCCUUUCGACCGCGAGGAAGCCACCUGGUUGGAAGGGUGGUGACGGUAGUGGUAGAAGAAGCACCGGCUAACUACGUG
rnacentral:rRNA from 1 species